GACGAACGCUGGCGGCGUGCUUAACACAUGCAAGUCGAACGGUAAGGCCCUUCGGGGAACACGAGUGGCGAACGGGUGAGUAACACGUGGGUGAUCUGCCCUGCACUUCGGGAUAAGCCUGGGAAACUGGGUCUAAUACCGGAUAGGACCACUGCCUGCAUGGGUGGUGGUGGAAAGCUUUUGCGGUGUGGGAUGGGCCCGCGGCCUAUCAGCUUGUUGGUGGGGUGAUGGCCUACCAAGGCGACGACGGGUAGCCGGCCUGAGAGGGUGACCGGCCACACUGGGACUGAGAUACGGCCCAGACUCCUACGGGAGGCAGCAGUGGGGAAUAUUGCACAAUGGGCGCAAGCCUGAUGCAGUGACGCCGCGUGAGGGAUGACGGCCUCCGGGUUGUAAACCUCUUUCAGCACCGACGAAGCGCAAGUGACGGUAGGUGCAGAAGAAGGACCGGCCAACUACGUGCCAGCCGCCGCAGUAA
rnacentral:rRNA from 1 species